rnacentral:rRNA from 1 species
GACGAACGCUGGCGGCGUGCUUAACACAUGCAAGUCGAACGGUGAAGCGCCUUCCUUUUUGGUGGGUGUGGAUGAGUGGCGAACGGGUGAGUAACACGUGAGUAACCUGCCCCCUUCUUCUGGAUAACCGCAUGAAAGUGUGGCUAAUACGGGAUAUUCUGGGUCUGUCGCAUGAUGGGUCUGGGAAAGAUAUUGUUUCGGUGGGGGAUGGGCUCGCGGCCUAUCAGCUUGUUGGUGGGGUGAUGGCCUACCAAGGCGGUGACGGGUAGCCGGCCUGAGAGGGUGGACGGUCACGCUGGGACUGAGACACGGCCCCGACUCCUACGGGAGGCAGCAGUGGGGAAUAUUGCACAAUGGGCGCAAGCCUGAUGCAGCGACGCCGCGUGAGGGAUGGAGGCCUUCGGGUUGUGAACCUCUUUCGCCAGUGAAGCAGGCCUGCCUCGUUUGUGGGUGGGUUGACGGUAGCUGGAUAAGAAGCGCCGGCUAACUACGUG